GAUAACUUGGGGAUAGCCUUUCGAAAGAAAGAUUAAUACCCGAUGGUAUAAUCAGACCGCAUGGUCUUGUUAUUAAAGAAUUUCGGUUAUCGAUGGGGAUGCGUUCCAUUAGGCAGUUGGUGAGGUAACGGCUCACCAAACCUUCGAUGGAUAGGGGUUCUGAGAGGAAGGUCCCCACAUUGGAACUGAGACACGGUCCAAACUCCUACGGGAGGCAGCAGUGAGGAAUAUUGGUCAAUGGGCGCAGGCCUGAACCAGCCAAGUAGCGUGAAGGAUGACUGCCCUAUGGGUUGUAAACUUCUUUUAUAUGGGAAUAAAGUUUUCCACGUGUGGAAUUUUGUAUGUACCAUAUGAAUAAGGAUCGGCUAACUCCGUGCCAGCAGCCGCGGUAAUACGGAGGAUCCGAGCGUUAUCCGGAUUUAUUGGGUUUAAAGGGAGCGUAGGUGGACAGUUAAGUCAGUUGUGAAAGUUUGCGGCUCAACCGUAAAAUUGCAGUUGAUACUGGCUGUCUUGAGUACAGUAGAGGUGGGCGGAAUUCGUGGUGUAGCGGUGAAAUGCUUAGAUAUCACGAAGAACUCCGAUUGCGAAGGCAGCUCACUGGACUGCAACUGACACUGAUGCUCGAAAGUGUGGGUAUCAAACAGGAUUAGAUACCCUGGUAGUCCACACAGUAAACGAUGAAUACUCGCUGUUUGCGAUAUACAGUAAGCGGCCAAGCGAAAGCAUUAAGUAUUCCACCUGGGGAGUACGCCGGCAACGGUGAAACUCAAAGGAAUUGACGGGGGCCCGCACAAGCGGAGGAACAUGUGGUUUAAUUCGACGAUACGCGAGGAACCUUACCCGGGCUUAAAUUGCAUUUGAAUAUAUUGGAAACAGUAUAGCCGUAAGGCAAAUGUGAAGGUGCUGCAUGGUUGUCGUCAGCUCGUGCCGUGAGGUGUCGGCUUAAGUGCCAUAACGAGCGCAACCCUUAUCUUUAGUUACUAACAGGUCAUGCUGAGGACUCUAGAGAGACUGCCGUCGUAAGAUGUGAGGAAGGUGGGGAUGACGUCAAAUCAGCACGGCCCUUACGUCCGGGGCUACACACGUGUUACAAUGGGGGGUACAGAAGGCAGCUACCUGGUGACAGGAUGCUAAUCCCAAAAGCCUCUCUCAGUUCGGAUCGAAGUCUGCAACCCGACUUCGUGAAGCUGGAUUCGCUAGUAAUCGCGCAUAAGCCAUGGCGCGGUGAAUACGUUCCCGGGCCUUGUACACACCGCCCGUCAAGCCAUGAAAGCCGGGGGUACCUAAAGGACGUAACCGCAAGGAGCGUCCUAGGGUAAAACUC
rnacentral:rRNA from 1 species